GACGUAGGGGGCCAGCGUUGUUCGGAAUUACUGGGUGUAAAGGGUUCGUAGGCGGUGUGGCAAGUCGGGAGUGAAAUCUCUGGGCUCAACUCAGAGACUGCUUCCGAAACUGCUGUGCUGGAGUGUGGGAGAGGCGCGUGGAAUUGCAGGUGUAGCGGUGAAAUGCGUAGAUAUUAGGAAGAACACCAGUGGCGAAGGCGGCUCACUGGUCCGGUACUGACGCUGAGGUGCGAAAGCGUGGGGAGCAAACAGG
rnacentral:rRNA from 1 species